UUUUAAACGUUGAUGAGGAGUACUAAUUUCGAAAUAUCACUCAGAGAGCCGACGAUGGGUGCAAGUCGGUUGAUAAAUUGAAAUGAACUUACCUCGGAGUCAUGAUAUGAAUGGAGAAGUUCCCGUGAAAUAUCAUCGUUUUACCCACGUUAAGGGUGUAAAGUGAGUGGAGAACAAAGAAUGUAUUCCGCUAACUAGGGUGGUACCACGGGAAUCAAACCUCUCGUCCCUAGC
rnacentral:ncRNA from 1 species